ACAGAUGCUGUUUCCUUUGCCCAGCACACCUGUCACUCACCUCAACCCUUUCUCUCUUUUCCCCAUCUUUCUGUGGCUAGCUCCUCCUCAUUCUUUAGGUCUCAGUGUAGAUAGCACCACUAUCAGGAAGGAGUCCAGACACUGCCAGGCCUAAGGCUUCCAGAUACAGCCCUCUAGGUCAUCCAGAGGUGCCAGCCAGCCCUCACCAGUGGUCAGCUUUUCCUCAGUGGAGUGGUAGGUCAGCAGUCCAACUACCAGGGCCAGAGCCCCAUCAAAGAAUCUUCAGUGCCAGCCAGAAAGAAUGAUGAACUCCUCGUGUAAAGGGAGUUUGGGGCAACCAGUCAAACCAUGGCCUCAUGGGAAGCAGCUGACUAGGCAAUGAGAGAGGAAUACAAAAGACAAGGCACUGCGAAGCCAAGUCUGGUUGGGGAGAAGAAACCAAUAUGCCUGAAACAGGGAACCAGAAAGGACUCAGACAAAACUGCUGACAAGUAUGGGGUUUCUUGGGGUAGGUGGUGAAAAUAUUCCAAAAUAAGAUUAUAGCGAUGUUUUAAUAAUCCCCUGGAUAUAAUAAAAAAACAUCGAAUUGUACACUUCAAA
ensembl:lncRNA LINC01704 long intergenic non-protein coding RNA 1704